rnacentral:misc_RNA from 1 species
AAAAUAAUCCUACCCUUUGUGAAUUUUGUUUGUUUGAAUAAUUUUUUUUUUUUAAAAAAUUAUUGGAGUCUUUCCCUUUAGAGUUUGCUUUUGAGUUUGUAAAAGAAUUCGAAAACAUCUAAAGGGGAUGGUCAAUAAUUUUUUUUGAAAAAAGACAUUUUUUAAAAUUAAACUUUUUGUAUUCACUUGUCUAAAAAUUAUUUUUAUAAUAUAAAAACAACUUUUGACAAUGGAUCUCUUGGUUCUCGCAACGAUGAAGAACGCAGCAAAAUGCGAUAAGUAGUGUGAAUUGCAGAAUACGUGAAUCAUCGAAUCUUUGAACGCAUAUUGCACUUUUUUAGUUUACUAAAAAAGUAUGUCUGUUUGAGUAUCAGUAAAAUAUUCUCAUAAAAAUCAUUGUAUUUUUAUGGUUAUGAGUGUUUUACAACGAUACAAGUUGUUUCACUUUAAAUUUUUUUUUAAUAUUGAAAUUUUUCUAAUUUUAAUAAUUAAAAUUGGAUAAAAUUUUCCCGUCAAAAGGAAUAACCUAAACAAUUUUAAACGAUUAAUUUUAGCAAAAUUUUCGUAAAAAAGGAAAAUUUUUAUUAAAAUAACUUGAUCUCGAAUCAGAUAAGAGUACCCGCUGAACUUAAGCAUAUCAAUAAGCGGAGGAAAAGAAACUAACAAGGAUUCCCUUAGUAACGGCGAGUGAAGCGGGAAGAGCUCAAAUUUGAAAUCUUCAAGGUUUUACCUUGACGAAUUGUAGUUUAAAGAAGUGUUUUCUGCUGAAGUUUUGGUAAAAGUUCUUUGGAAUAGGACAUCAUAGAGGGUGAGAAUCUCGUAUUUGACCAUUAUUUUCAGCUUUGUGAUACACUUUCAAAGAGUCGGAUUGUUUGGGAAUGCAGUCCAAAAUGGGUGGUAAAUUUCAUCUAAAGCUAAAUAUUGGCGAGAGACCGAUAGCGAACAAGUACCGUGAGGGAAAGAUGAAAAGAACUUUGAAAAGAGAGUUAAACAGUACGUGAAAUUGUCAAAAGGGAAGCGUUUGACACCAGUGUUGUUUUCUCGAAAAUCAAUUAAAAAUGGCUCGAUUUUGUAUUGCGGAGACCUUAAAAGCUCACUGUACAUUUUUCGUGUCUUUUUUAAUGCACUUUUCGUUUAACAAGUCAACAUCAGUUUCUUUUGUUGUAAAAGGGUCAUUGGAAGGUGGCUUUCUUUUCGGAGAAAGUGUUUAUAGCCUUUGGCCUCUGCAAUCGAAGAGACUGAGGUCUGCAGCGUAGACUCUUCGGGGUUAGAUACAUUUGUGCUAAGUUAUAGCUUUUUAUAGACAACUUGUUGACUAUAAUUAGUCUUGUAGCUUACUCGCUUAUGCUAUUUUA